UGCAGGAAUGACGACUGAGUGGCGGCUGUUUGUUGGCUUCGAGCACAGAUGGUGCUUUUUUCACACGUUCACUGCUUGAAGAGAUGAGUCAUUUCUGCAAAGAAAAAAAAAGGACUAAAGCUUUAAUAUUCUGCACCACUGGAGAGGAUAAUGAAAACACCAUUUAAAGCGAACACAUCACUGAGUGUCUUUAAAGARGCGCAGGUAUGUCUUCGACAUGCAGGAAGCUUCAGCGGUGAGACGAAAACAAAAAAAAGAAAGGAAAAAAAAGGAACACGACUUCUGUUUUGGAUGAUUGUGUGGCCUCUUGUUGCUCAAGCUGCCUCACGUCGUUGCUCUCUCUGCGUGAGCCGUCCCUGAAAAGGCUGCGACCAGCGUGAAGCCGGAGCGCCUCUGUCUGCCCGAGUCGCAUGGCUCUUUUCAUCUCUCCAUGCCGCCGUUAUGGCGGGUCGUGGGGUGAAGGGCACCACGGUGACAAAGCAUGCUGGGAUACAUGGACUCGGAYUCACUCUCCGGACCCCGUGAGGGUCGGCGGUUGGAUGUGUUGCUAGGGUUCGCUGGCAGCUGCUUCGGCUCCUCAUAGUAACUUAAAGGGAGAAUUAGUUCCGGUCACACCCGUGUGGGAUGUUAAUCACCUCUUGCAUUUUAAUUCUUCAUUGUGRCGACAUGAAUGACUCUUGUGAGCAGAAAGGUACCAUUGUUGUUUAUCUCUGCYUUAAAAAUGAUCAAAACCUUG